AAGCCAGGAGUGGAUGAAGUACCUGAAAGCCGCGGUUGAGUAAAAUUAGACUUUUAAGCAGUUUAAGUCUCCUAUUAGAAUAUUAGUAAGUCUUAGUAAGUGAAAGUCUUAAAGUAUGCCAGCUGAUAUGUACUGUACUGAAGUCAUUUUGAUAUUAAAUGUAGGCCUACUCAAGUACUGAAAGUAAAAGUACAAGAAAAUGGUUUGUAUUAAAAAAACAGGGGGGCAGAAUUUUGAGAAUUAUUAACUUUAUUUUAUUAAGAAUGUACCCCACCUGUAAUAAUAGAGGCCACUGCCACCGCAAAGGUGCGUCAGUAAAAUAGAUGUAAAUCCAUUCUAAUCUUCACGAUGGUUACGAUGCCUUAUGGAUAAUUGGAAUACGUCAAAGGGAGGAAUACGGCAGACAGCAGUUGUGCUAAAAAUUGACUGUAGGAUUAGGUGCUCUAACCAAGUUUAUGAUACGGCAAACGUUAGUUUACCACGCUACUUACUGUUGGAGAGGCAAGCGAAUGAAUCUAUUUGUUCAGAUGCAAGAGGGCGGCGACGAGGGUUACGUGUUGGACCUCAGCGAUGAGCGGGGUCCUGGGAAACAGCAGCCCUGUCUUCGGCAGGCUGUGGCAGCCCCCCGUCACUCAGCUGGACCCAAGGUCAGGCCCCAGGAGGACGCGAGGGGAUCAGGAUUUAGCAGAGGGGGAAGAGAUUAGGCCCACAUCCGCUCGCCCCUGAUCCAUCCAUGGUCUGGGAAGGGGCAUACGGAAGACCACUAAGAUGCAAUGUUACAGCUGUAAUGAAAAAGACUUGCAAGAGAACAUACAGUUGGUAAAUUGCUUUAACCAAGGAAAUUGAAACUGAACAAAAAAUUGUUUUUUUCUUACAGUAUUCAGUACAUUUGGACAAAUUCGGUUUAUAAGGGUUGGGAAACUCUUUUUUUUUGUAAAAUGUCCCCAUCUCUCCUAUACUUACCCUUACACACACAUACACACAGACAAACACACAGACACACACACACAAACAUACACCACUAUAUUUUCUGGCAAAUCAAGUGUGCUUGUGCCGACAGGUCUAAAAGUUGAUUCAAAUGAGGACGUCCAAACAAUUAAGCUGUCCAUGCCAAAAUAAAUCCAUCAACCCACAGUUAACA
rnacentral:lncRNA from 1 species